rnacentral:lncRNA from 1 species
GUUUUUUAAACCUGUCUGUUUACAACAGAGCAUGAUUGUAAUGUCUUGACAGGUAAGACUGGUAGUCUUGACAGGAAAGACUGGUAGUCUUGACAGGAAAGACUGGUAGUCUUGACAGGUAAGACUGGUAGUCUUGACAGGUAAGACUGGUAGUCUUGACAGGUAAGACUGGUAGUCUCAUCUGUGUGGCUCUAAAGACUCCCGUUGUUAUUCCCUUUAGUGCACUACUGCUGGUGUGGGGAGCAGGCAGCCAUUUUAGAAUCGGUCCUGUUGAAUCGGGAAGGGGGUGUUUUGGCUUCUUCAUACCUCCCUAGAUGGCUCUCUGUCUGUCAUCGCUGGGGGGGUGAAUGUAACCUAUCGUUGGUCGUAAACACAAUGCCUUUAAAUAAUAAACAUAGAUUUAGCCACUAUUUACAAUGUUGAUUGUUGAGUUAUGAUGAUGCACAAUGUGUGAAAGCUUCAAAACAGCAUUAGGCAAAGCCAUGGACCUUCAUUUAUUUACUUCGAUUUUUAUUUAGUGUCUUUAAAAAAAAAAAACGAACAAAAUAAUAAUAAAAACUGUUGUUUCUCUCCCAGUAGUUUUAUUUGACUGGUAGAAGUUGCUAGUUGUGUUGUUUUGACGUCGCGUUCCUUGACUGUACUGAAUAACUUAAAAGCAUUAGCGUACAAUACAAACCCCCUUGAGUAUUAUUCUGCCAGUGCUGUGCCAGUAUUCAACCGUGUUAAACAACCGCUCUACCAAAUAUCAUUCAAUCAACAACAACAAUAAUAAUAUUUGUUUACUUAAUUCCAGAUAUAUAUAUAUUUUUUUGGCUUAUCUCACUUUUUUGUUUUAACAAACUGUUGCAUGAAACAUUGGAAACCAGGUUUAUUUUUGUGUGUGUGAAUAAUAACUUUAUUGAGACACUGAACUGUGGUGUUAAUAAUAACUUUAUUGAGACGCUGAACUGAGGAGCUUUUUGGAUUUGCACUUGGAUUAUUUAAAGAUGGAAGGAGAGGAGAGAAGACAGCCUCCUAGUCUGCGUCCUGUCUCUCUCUCUGCAGACUAGGAGGCCUGCCUGUCUGUCUCUCUCUCUGCAGACUAGGAGGCCUGUCUGUCUCUCUCUGCAGACUAGGAGGCCUGUCUGUCUCUCUCUGCAGACUAGGAG